rnacentral:rRNA from 1 species
AUGCUCUGUAGUUGAAAGGUCCGCCGCCAUAGGAUGGGUCUGCGGCCGAUUAGGUUGUUGUUGGGGUAACGGCCCAACAAGCCUGUAAUCGGUACGGGUUGUGGGAGCAAGAGCCCGGAGAUGGAUUCUGAGACACGAAUCCAGGCCCUACGGGGCGCAGCAGGCGCGAAAACUUUACAAUGCGGGAAACCGUGAUAAGGGAACUCCGAGUGCCCGUUAAAUCGGGCUGUCCACCAGUUUAAAAAACUGGUGAAGAAAGGGCCGGGCAAGACCGGUGCCAGCCGCCGCGGUAAUACCGGCGGCUCGAGUGGUGGCCACUAUUACUGGGCUUAAAGCGUUCGUAGCUGGUUUGUUAAGUCUCUGGGGAAAUCUGCCGGCUUAACCGGCAGGCGUCUCAGGGAUACUGGCAGACUAGGGACCGGGAGAGGUGAGGGGUACUCCAGGGGUAGGAGUGAAAUCCUGUAAUCCUUGGGGGACCACCUGUGGCGAAGGCGCCUCACCAGAACGGCUCCGACAGUGAGGGACGAAAGCUGGGGGAGCAAACCGGAUUAGAUACCCGGGUAGUCCCAGCUGUAAACGAUGCGCGUUAGGUGUAUCGGUGACCACGAGUCACCGAGGUGCCGAAGAGAAAUCGUGA